rnacentral:lncRNA from 1 species
UUUACACUAUUGCAUUUCAAAAUGUUCAUGCCCAAUGUCUAGAUAAUUUAAAAACAGUUCUCUUCUUUUCUGUUCAAAUCUUCAUGUGACUUGAGACAAACACUGUUCAUGUGAAUGAAGCGUCUAAAUUUUGACACUGGACCUUGGGGAGAACCUCUAGACCUCUCAAUCGACCUCAUAGAUGAGAAGAAAAUGACAAAGACUUCCCUGCGCUUGGGACCAAGGGACGGCCAGGAUUCUCAGCACAGACCUGAUUCACUGAAUUGAGGAGUUUGUGAAAGGAAAGUUGAUCUAUAGAUGAAAGAAGAGGAGGACAUGGAGACGGGAAUCAGCAGGAAGGGGAAAGGAGAUCAAGAGUUAUUGAACACCUACAAUGUGAAAGGCCAUUUUGUUGGAAAUGUUACAUAUCUCUUUUAGUCUUCC